CCUAGAUGCACAAGGGAAUUAGAAUUUCACUAAUGAGGUUACUUUAGUACAGUCUAUGCGUUGACACAAUCCCGUCAGGGAACCUGCUGUCCCCGAGUGAUAUCUGGGCUCUGCUAGGGGACUUCGUUGGCUUCUAGAAUGGGGAAAGGAGGGCAGCUUGCCGGGUGCUGUCUGCGGCCACCUCAGCUCUGCCUGUCGGUGUUCCAGGACUUGCAGGCAGCUGCUGGCUCUCGUGGCUGAUGUCAGCGGCUGGCGAGCGAUCUGGUCUGGCCGAGGGCAGAUGGCCCUGCUGUGUCUCCCAGCCUUCUGACCGACUGGAAACCAGAGCUAAGGAACACUUUGAUCCAAGGAACUGUCCGGGAGCUUGGAGCAGAGUGGAGACAGAUGAACUGAGUCCCCAUGGAUGAUGAGAGCACGCGGGAGACACCCAGCAAAGAUGUGAGCCCUUUUGGAGUGAUCGUUUCAAACAUCACCGCCUCCGUAGACAACUUGAGGGUGAAGAACACAUUGACCUUGGGUCUGGAGAGCCGGGAGAGCAGCACGCCCACUGUUUCAUGGCAGGCCACAGCUCUUGGGCACGACGAGGUAUGCGGUGGGUAGCGAUGUCCACACGUGGACUCUCACGCUGGUGGGAUGGGUGGAAACUGGAUGCCCGCUUAUUUAGGGGUCUGUACUCCUGUGCUAAUGUGGGGAACAGAGGCAGCCCUUGAAAGAACUAUUGGUAGGGAGGGGAGGCUCUUGGGGCAACCGACACACAAGCAUUUAAACGAGUGAUACCUUUGGCCUUUGUACUCAGUUUUUGCUGAGUGUCUAAGGAGUGAUUUCUCAGGACGGGUGUGGCCAUGAAGGUCAGUAUUUUCCCACCAGACUCUCAUGUUGGCCAUAGAUAAAAUUGGUAGCUUGGAGAACGAUCUACUUCUGGUCAAGCAUGGGGAGGAGACAGAAUAGACAUUGAGAUAAUAGCAGAGCUUGGUUAGUUUUGUCUGGGUUGAGUUCCUAAAUGGAAUACCUUCUUCGUGGAGGGAUGUUGCCUUCAUUCUAAGGGUAGUUGCCAAAGGGAAAUAACAAGAAAGAGCCA
rnacentral:lncRNA from 1 species